CCCUCUUUUCCUCUCUUUCUUUCUCCCUCUCUCCCUCCUUGUCGAUUUCUUGUUUUGAAUGCCGGAAUUGUCCCAAUCCGCCACUGGCAUGGUUGUGUACGCUCCGAAUUGGGUAGUUUAGGAUGGUUUCGUAUUCUUUGGUUUAGUGUGAGUUGAAGGAGGUUGCUUAUGUUCUUGAUGUGGUUGCUGGUGAUGAGGAUCUAUAGGAGUUUGAGGAUGAUAAGACUACGGUACAUAUCAUGAGGUGUGUACUUGCCACAUGUAAGGGCU
rnacentral:lncRNA from 1 species